rfam:Selaginella moellendorffii unplaced genomic scaffold SELMOscaffold_4, whole genome shotgun sequence.
GCUCUCGUGGCCAAAUUGGACAAGGCACUUGACUUCUAAUCAAGGGAUUGUGGGUUCGAGUCCCACCGGGAGUG